rnacentral:rRNA from 1 species
ACGCUCGACACCUACUGGAGGCAGCAGUGGGGAAUAUUGGGCAAUGGGCGCAAGCCUGACCCAGCAACGCCGCGUGAAGGAAGAAGGCCCUCGGGUUGUAAACUUCUUUUGUCAGGGACGAAGCAAGUGACGGUACCUGACGAAUAAGCCACGGCUAACUACGUGCCAGUAGCCGCGGUAAUCUGAGCGGGCUGGCAAGGC